GGAUAUGAGGGUAAGCUGGCCCCUACAUCUGUCACUCCACUGAUCACCUGGGCUAAUCUGGCUGGCUAGAUGGGUGUCCUCUUCCUCCCUCACCACUCCAUGUGUUUCCUUCCCAAAGCUGCUCGCUUGAUCAAAGAGGAUGACCCACCCAGAGAAUGAUGGUUUCCAUGGUCAACGGUAUAGGAGAUAUUACACUGCCCUGCUAGCACCUCCAAACAAACUCUCAAAUAAAAAAUAAAAAGGGCCCUGAGUUCAGAUCCUAGUAUAAGGCAGGAAAAAAAAAAAAAAGAAAAAGAAAAACAUUGAAGACAUCUAAUAGGGAGAGGAAUAU
ensembl:misc_RNA 7SK 7SK RNA